rnacentral:rRNA from 1 species
CGAUGAUGCAUAGCCGAGUUGAGAGACUGAUCGGGCCACAUUGGGGACUGGAGACACGGGGCCCAAACUCCUGGCGGGGGGAGGGGCAGCAGUAGGGGGAAUCUUCCACAAUGGACGCAAGUCUGAUGGAGCAACGCCGCGUGAGUGAAGUAAGGUUUUCGGAUCGUAAAGCUCUGUUGUUGGUGAAGAAGGAUAGAGGUAGUAACUGGCCUUUAUUUGACGGUAAUCAACCAGAAAGUCACGGCUAACUACGUGCCAGCAGCCGCGGUAAU